CACGCCACGGUGAAUACGUUCCCGGGCCUUGUACACACCGCCCGUCAAGCCAUGGAAGUUGGGGGUACCCGAAGUCGCCCUUAAAAAGCGCCGAAGGUAAAAACCAGUGACUGGGGCU
rnacentral:rRNA from 1 species